rnacentral:lncRNA from 1 species
AGGCUGAUGUCAUGAGUUGAUGGAUCCUGCGCCAUCUGUACCUGCUUGCUCCUUCUUGCCUUGGUGACCUGCCUGGAUCUGAAAGUGUCUGCCAGAUCACAGCCAUUUAGCACCAUGGAGGAGUCUUAGUUUGAAAGGAGGAGACAGUAGUGGUCACAGAGCCUCUCCUGUGACUUCAAACCAGUCCUUCCCAGCAGCAACCCAGGAGCAGAGGAUGCCAAGGCGAAGGCUGCAUGCUCGCCCCCACAUCGGCCUCCUGCAAAUCCACCGGAGGCUGCAGCCAGUGCUGCAGACCCAGCUCCAACGAUCCCGUCUGCACAGGUCCUACGUUCAGAGGAGAGGGGAAGAGCUGCACCCCAGCACCCCGCGACAGUCACCUGACUCCUUGUCCGAGAGCUUCCUCAGCAGUGUCAAAGGGACGACCCUGAAAGACGGCGGUUAACCUGGGGAUGCUGUGGCUGACUCCUUCCAUAAGCCGUAUAAAGGAAUCUCGUCACUCUGGGCCUCUGACGGCAAGCCUACUGUUUCCAGGGUGUCUUUUGGGUUCAUUUGUUUUCUGAUGUUGGGAUUUUGCUGUGUGUCUCCAUGAGGAUGAGAGUUUCUGGGGUGCUGAGACGGGUGUGACUGGGAGGUGCCAGGUGGCAGCUCUGGCCCUGACCUUCCCCAGGCCCGUGCCACACAGAAAGGCCUUUCCAGGGUCCUGGACACUGGUGGCCCUUACGCAUGGUCCUUCCCCAGGCACUUCCCUGGGCCAGGCUCUCAGUGCCUGGGCCUGCGAGCUGCUGGCCGGGAUCUUUCUUUAAGCCAAGUGGUCACAGUAGGAGUAGUUAACACAGUGAGCGUUUCUGAGCACAGUCUUUAUAUGUCAAGUACCGUGCAGACCCUUUUUGCACACGUUUUUUCACUGACCUCUCAUAACGACACUGCGAUAUGGGUACUGUUGUGGCUCCUAUUGCACACAUGAGGAGACGAAAGUGACCUCAUCCAAGUCACACAGUUAGGCAAGGCGGAGCCCUGCUUCAAACCCACCAGUCAGACCCCAUGUUCACAACCACUUUGAGAAGGGGAGCGGGAGGGUGAAGGGCACAGACUCUGCACCCAAACUGUCCAGAGUUAAAUCCGGGGUUUGCCACUUACUGGCUGUGUGGCUCUGAGCAGGUUAAUUAACAUCUCUGUGCCUUAGCUUGCUCAUCUGUAAAAUGGGGUAAUCUUAGUACCUACUUCAUAGGGCUGUUAUAAGGGUACGUGAGUUAGUGCUCAUAAAAUACUUAGACUUUGGCCAGGCACACAGUAAGCACUCAGUAAAUGCUAGCUCUUAGUAUUACACUGAUGCAAAGUCUUGAAAGAGAGUCAAUCUUCAACAAGGACACUGAGAACCCACUUCAAACGAGACGCUGUGCUUGGCACUGGGUGGGGGUGCAGGAAGGGCGUUAGACCCCGAG